UUACCUACGGGAGGCAGCAGUGGGGAAUAUUGCACAAUGGGGGAAACCCUGAUGCAGCGAUGCCGCGUGGAGGAAGAAGGUUUUCGGAUUGUAAACUCCUUUUAUCAGGGACGAAAAUGACGGUACCUGAAGAAAAAGCUCCGGCUAACUACGUGCCAGCAGCCGCGGUAAUACGUAGGGAGCGAGCGUUGUCCGGAAUUACUGGGGGAAAAGGGAGCGUAGGCGGGAGGG
rnacentral:rRNA from 1 species